rnacentral:lncRNA from 1 species
CCGUCCCCCCCUCCCCCGGCCCCGUUUUUACGAGCGAAAAGCACAGCGAGGGGCACGGAGCCCCCCCCCCCCCCCCCCCCCCCCCCAAAUUUUCCCCUUGGCCCCGGGGGGGGGGGCCUGGGGGCGCCCCCCCCCCCCCGGCGCCGCUCGCGACCCCCGGGGACUUUUGCACUACCGGGGCCGGGGGGAUCCGGCCGCCGGCCAAUGGGAGGGGGCGCUGCCGGGGCGGGAUCUGGCCGUCGGCCAAUGGGGAGGGAGGAGGGGGGUGGGGCGGGGCCGGCGUUGGGCCAAUGGGGGUGGAGGUGGCGGCUGGGCGGGGCGAGAAGGGGGCUCCGGCCAAUGGGGAGCAGUGGUGGAGGGGGAUCCGCUCGGGAGCCAAUUGGGAGCGAGUUCCUGGAGGGGCGGGGCCUGGUGGUCAGCCAAUGGGGAGCGGGUUCCCGUGGAGGUGGGGUCCAGUGGUCAGCCAAUCAGGAGCGGGGGCAGGAGCUGGUCUUGAGCCAAUCAGGAGCGGGCUGUAGCGGGGCGGGAUCUGGUGUUCGGCCAAUCAGGAGCGAGCUGUGGCAGUGCGGGAUCUGGUGUUCGGCCAAUCAGAAGCGGCGCGUAGCAGGGGAAGGAGCCAAUGGGGAGCAGCGUCUGGGCGAGCUGGGAUCCGGUGCCCAGCCAAUCAGCAGCGGCGCUGGGUGGGGCAGGGCGGGGCGAGGCGGCUGCCGGGCCAAUCCGCGGCGGGACCAAGUCCUCGGCCAAUCAGGAGCGAGCUGGGGGGGAUCCGGCCUCCGCCCGGCCAGCAGCGACUCUGGGUCGAGAUGGGAUCCGGCCAGGAUCCAAUCGGGAGUGACGUUGGAUUGGAGGGGCGGAUCCGGUUUCCAUCCAGUGGGGAGUCGGGCCGGGCGGGGGCGGGAUCCGGUCUUCAGCCAAUCAGGGGGCAUCCUGAGAAGGGCCGGGCCAAUCAGGAGCCAGGCCGGGCUGGGGCGGGAUCCAGGCUUCAGCCAAUCAGGAGUCAUUCUGGGCGGGCCUGGGCCAAUCAGGAGUGGCCGGGCAGGGUUGGGGGUGGGAUCAAGCACAGAGCCAAUCAGGAGAGGCGCCGGGCUGGGGAAGGAUCAAGCG